CCUACGGGGUGCAGCAGUGGGGAAUAUUGGACAAUGGGCGAAAGCCUGAUCCAGCCAUGCCGCGUGUGUGAAGAAGGCCUUCGGGUUGUAAAGCACUUUCAGUGGGGAAGAAAGCCUUGGGGCUAAUACCCUCGAGGAAGGACAUCACCCACAGAAGAAGCACCGGCUAACUCCGUGCCAGCAGCCGCGGUAAUACGGAGGGUGCGAGCGUUAAUCGGAAUUACUGGGCGUAAAGCGCGCGUAGGCGGUCUGAUAAGCCGGUUGUGAAAGCCCCGGGCUCAACCUGGGAACGGCAUCCGGAACUGUCAGGCUAGAGUGCAGGAGAGGAAGGUAGAAUUCCCGGUGUAGCGGUGAAAUGCGUAGAGACCGGGAGGAAUACCAGUGGCGAAGGCGGCCUUCUGGACUGACACUGACGCUGAGGUGCGAAAGCGUGGGUAGCAAACAGGAUUAGAUACCCUAGUAGUC
rnacentral:rRNA from 1 species